AUUAUAUUGACUUCAUAUUUGACAAGUGUAGUAUUUGAUCAUUUAAACAAUCCUGUGAGAUAUUUUUACAAUGAACUAUGCAUUAAAUGUCAACAUUUUAUUUAUCAUAAUGGGAAGUCUCCCACUGAAGAUUUCUGUGGCUAUGUUAUCUAACAAUAAACAUAAGAAGAGUACCAAUCCUAAAUGAAUUUUUGACCUAGCUUUAACAAAAUAACAUUUAGCUGAGAGAUUCUUCAUUAUGCAAAGAAACAAUGUUUUGGCAAUAAAUUAAAAUCUAUAUAUGAGGAAGAAAUUUAGAGAAUUAUUAUUGUAUUUUUCCAAAAGCCAGCAAGUAUUAUCUUAACAUAAAACAAGUUACUCAGUAAUCUUGUACACUAGUAUUUAUACUGUGCUAUUGAAAUUAGAUAUUUAUUCUGAAUUAGAAUGAAAAUAAAGAUUGGUUCGUUUUAUAUUAUCCAUUUUAGGAAGGACUUUUCUCCUAGUGGUGAUAGUAUUCAAUGUCAGAAACUGAUAUCAUCUAUAGAUUAACAAUGCAUUGCAUUUAACAUUUUUUGUUGUAUUGAUUUAAUAGAUAAUCAUGUAUUUUCAUAAAGUUACAUUUUGUGUCACUCAGUUUCUUUAUAACUGUGCCAUGUAUGUUAUAUAGUUAGUGAACAAUACAUGUUUGACAUUAAACCAAGGAAGAACCUGAGAAUUUACUCUUAAAUUUUUUAGUGCUAUUGUAUUAUUUUACAAUUAUCAUGAAUUGCUUUCCAAGUUUUGUUUGUUAAAGUUUAUAUUACAGAUUGUAGUGUUGUGUCAUGCUUCAAAAAGAAAUUAAUAAAA
rnacentral:lncRNA from 1 species